UUCCUUGGGGAGGAGACGCCCUUUGGUUGGUCCUGGCAAGGACCGUGUUUCGGUCGCAGGCACUGUGGGAAACGGAAAAAGAAAGCGAAUUCGAAUAAGACAGCCCCGGUGGAGCCAUGCUUCUUAUGCAGGUGUUUUCCCUUCUUUGCAGGGUUCUGCCUCAAAAUCAGAUGUCUUUCCCACCGCCGUCUAGCAUACGUGCAGGGCUUGAAAGCGCGUUAUGGGGGACUUCCCAGUGCAGAAGCGAAGAGAAGAUGCCUGUAACACUGAUGCCAACAGAAGGAGGCACCCUUGGUUGGUGCGUACAGGGCCCAGUGACAGACGAAGAGGGACUUUAACCACCAACUCAGCUUAGGAGGAAGCCAAGAAUGAAGGUUUUCUAUCUCUCAGCCUUAUGGUAAGGCCAACAGAUCAGAGGUGACUGCCAUUGGAAAAACAGCUUGUUACAAUUUCCAAUAAGAGGGGCACCUCACCCAUGGAGGACCACAUAGAGAAAUGCCGGGGUCAGUCAAGAGGCAGAAGGAACAAGGGAAGCAUGGGCAGAAGCCUUUAUUGUGGUUUCUGUGGGAAAGGCAAUGCGAGUUUCUCAAUUACUAUGCUUGAGUGUGCCAUCUGCUGUUUUCUGAUGGAUAUGGCAGCAACUGAGUUUUUUGGCUAAAGGCAGGAGAGCAAAACAAAUGUCCAAGGACUACUCUAACUUAAUUCCCAUUGUAUGUGAGCAAGUUACUAACCAAGGAUAAGCACCAGCUAAAAUAAGUAUUCAGUCAACAUUAGUUUUUUCUGUAUUUCUAUAAUUUUGAAAGUAUAUGAUCCCAUGUUAUUGAUAUGGAGUCUAAUUGAUAUUCACAAGCAUGAAACCUGGAUUUAACAUGUAAGAUGGGUAUUUUUCCAACAUUUCCUGAGUAACAGAUUAUUUUAUCAAGGUUAUUAAUCAGUAUUGCAGCUUGCGCUUUUACUUUCUUUCUU